rnacentral:misc_RNA from 1 species
AAGUCGUAACAAGGUAACCGUAGGUGAACCUGCGGUUGGAUCAUUAUUGAAUCUUUAAAUUUUUUUUUCUUUCCAAUUCAAAUUUUUUUUUGAAGAGGGAAUUAAAAAAAAAAACGGAGGGUUUAAACCACCCUCUAACACAUAAUGUUAACCUGUUUUUAGACUGAAAAGUCAAAGUUUUUGGUGGUUCUUUUUUCUUUGAAUCUCCUUUUUCUUUUUUUAUUAAAAAAAAAUUGAAAUUCAAGGAAAAGAGGCCACCGGUUAAUAACAUUUAUAUUUUUUUAUUAGUCUAUUGAUUUCUUACAAAAGAAAAAAAAACAACUUUUGACAACGGAUCUCUAGGCUCUC